rnacentral:rRNA from 1 species
GACGAACGCUGGCGGCGUGCCUAAUACAUGCAAGUCGAACGAACUCUGGUAUUGAUUGGUGCUUGCAUCAUGAUUUACAUUUGAGUGAGUGGCGAACUGGUGAGUAACACGUGGGAAACCUGCCCAGAAGCGGGGGGAUAACACCUAGAAACAGAUGCUAAUACCGCAUAACAACUUGGACCGCAUGGUCCGGGCUUGAAAGAUGGCUUCGGCUAUC